rnacentral:rRNA from 1 species
CACGUAGGGCGCAAGCGUUGUCCGGAAUUAUUGGGCGUAAAGAGCUCGUAGGCGGACUGUCACGUCCGCUGUGAAAAGCUAGGGCUUAACCCUGGCCUUGCAGUGGAUACGGGCAGACUAGAGGUAGGUAGGGGAGAAUGGAAUUCCCGGUGUAGCGGUGAAAUGCGCAGAUAUCGGGAAGAACACCCGUGGCGAAGGCGGUUCUCUGGGACGGUACUGACGCUGAGACGCGAAGGCGUGGGGAGCGAACAGG